AAUAAGAUGUCUGAUUAAAGUAAUAAACUGUAAAUUUAUUUAAGGUUUAACCUCUUAUUU
rnacentral:tRNA from 1 species